GCAGUGGUGGUUCCAUGGUAGAAUUCCUGCCUUCCACGCAGAAGAUCCAGGUGCGAUUUCUGGCCAACGCA
rnacentral:tRNA from 1 species